rnacentral:rRNA from 1 species
GACGAACGCUGGCGGCGUGCCUAAUACAUGCAAGUAGAGCGCACAGUUUAUACCGUAGCUUGCUACACCAUAGACUGUGAGUUGCGAACGGGUGAGUAACGCGUAGGUAACCUGCCUGGUAGCGGGGGAUAACUAUUGGAAACGAUAGCUAAUACCGCAUAAUAUUAAUUAUUGCAUGAUAAUUAAUUGAAAGGUGCAAUUGCACCACUACCAGAUGGACCUGCGUUGUAUUAGCUAGUAGGUGAGGUAACGGCUCACCUAGGCGACGAUACAUAGCCGACCUGAGAGGGUGAUCGGCCACACUGGGACUGAGACACGGCCCAGACUCCUACGGGAGGCAGCAGUAGGGAAUCUUCGGCAAUGGACGAAAGUCUGACCGAGCAACGCCGCGUGAGUGAAGAAGGUUUUCGGAUCGUAAAGCUCUGUUGUAAGAGAAGAACGGGUGUGAGAGUGGAAAGUUCACACUGUGACGGUAUCUUACCAGAAAGGGACGGCUAACUACGUGCCAGCAGCCGCGGUAAUACGUAGGUCCCGAGCGUUGUUCGGAUUUAUUGGGCGUAAAGCGAGCGCACGCGGUUAGAUAAGUCUGAAGUUAAGGCUGUGGCUUAACCAUAGUACGCUUUGGAAACUGUUUAACUUGAGUGCAGAAGGGGAGAGUGGAAUUCCAUGUGUAGCGGUGAAAUGCGUAGAUAUAUGGAGGAACACCGGUGGCGAAAGCGGCUCUCUGGUCUGUAACUGACGCUGAGGCUCGAAAGCGUGGGGAGCGAACAGGAUUAGAUACCCUGGUAGUCCACGCCGUAAACGAUGAGUGCUAGGUGUUAGGCCCUUUCCGGGGCUUAGUGCCGCAGCUAACGCAUUAAGCACUCCGCCUGGGGAGUACGACCGCAAGGUUGAAACUCAAAGGAAUUGACGGGGGCCCGCACAAGCGGUGGAGCAUGUGGUUUAAUUCGAAGCAACGCGAAGAACCUUACCAGGUCUUGACAUCCCGAUGCCCGCUCUAGAGAUAGAGUUUUACUUCGGUACAUCGGUGACAGGUGGUGCAUGGUUGUCGUCAGCUCGUGUCGUGAGAUGUUGGGUUAAGUCCCGCAACGAGCGCAACCCUUAUUGUUAGUUGCCAUCAUUCAGUUGGGCACUCUAGCGAGACUGCCGGUAAUAAACCGGAGGAAGGUGGGGAUGACGUCAAAUCAUCAUGCCCCUUAUGACCUGGGCUACACACGUGCUACAAUGGCUGGUACAACGAGUCGCAAGUCGGUGACGGCAAGCUAAUCUCUUAAAGCCAGUCUCAGUUCGGAUUGUAGGCUGCAACUCGCCUACAUGAAGUCGGAAUCGCUAGUAAUCGCGGAUCAGCACGCCGCGGUGAAUACGUUCCCGGGCCU